rnacentral:lncRNA from 1 species
GCUCAUUUCACAAAUGAACGACCUGCAUUCAAGUCCUAGUCUCAAGUUGUUCUUUAGGGAGAAUCUGAACUAAGAUAUUUGUACCAGAAAUAGCCCUAGAAAACAGACCCUGGAAAUGUCUUCCUGGUGGUUGGCUAGUGUCGCCAAGUUGUGCCCAAUUCUUUGUGACCCCGUGGACUGCAUCGCGCCAGGCCUCUCUGUCCCUCACCAUCUCCUGGAGUUUCCUGACUGUAGUUCUAUGAGAACCCCUGAGGGAGACUGGCUUGCUGCUGCUGCUGCUGCUGCUGGAGACUGGCCUAGGGGAGGUCAGUCAGCCCCAGAACCAUGAGAGAUAACAAUAAAAUGAUUGAUUGUUGUUUUAAGCCACAGUUGGGUGGUGAUUUGUUCCACAGCAAUAGGUAACACAAACAGACCCCAUUUCAGAAUAAUGUUUCCAAAGGCUAAAAUGUUGGGUUGGCCAAAAAGUUCAUUUGUAUUUUUUCUGGAUACAAAUGGAAAAACCAGAACAAACUUUUGGCCAAUCCAGUAGCAUAUAUAAGAUUACAGAGGCAUAUUGAAAGAUUAAAAACUCAAUAUAUGAUAAUACAUGUGCUUUUUAUCAAUGUAUUAAAUGAGAUUUAUGUUGCAUAUAAUGACUGCUAUAAUUUCAAUGUGUUGAUGAAUGUUUGGACGUGUCCACCCAAUGAAAAUUUUCUGUGAUAUAAAUGAUAUAAAGAUAUUGGCUACUUUUUUGAUAAAGUCACAGGUACUUCUAAUACUGUUGCCAAAUGCAGCUUUUAUUUAUUAUGGAAGGAAAAGCUAAAUUUCAGUUACAGAUGAGUGAAAAGAAAGGAAUGGAGGUUUUUAUUUAUUUACUUCCCGUCCAAGUAAUUUAUUCCUCUUUCUCCCCCACACCCAACUGAGAACCAUAGGAAGCUGAUGCUUGUGAGAAUCUCAGGAAUUAUAAACCAAUCCUGCCUUUCCCCUAUGUUGGAAGUGAGGGGUGUGACAUUAAGUCUGAUGACAAAUUGAGAUUAUAAUGGAGUCAUCAUAACUCAGGCAUAUAAAAAUGGAGUGGGGUGGCCAUUUAGAAUCUGCUCUCAGACAUUCCCAAGUUCACCCCUGAGAACUUGAACUUGCUGUAAACUGUACCUAUGCCAAGGACACCAGCCAUUUUAAAAACAUCUGCUAAUUGCAACCUUGAGUCUCAAGGUUUUUCCCCUUAUAACUGAUUAUGCAACCAUUUCAGACCCCAACCAAUCCUUACUUAAUAAGCACCCUUGCUUCUUGCCCAUUCCAAUUAUGAUUCUUAAUAAGCCACUCUUCUAACUAACUGUAACCUUGCAGUUUUUGCCUUUAUAAACCUCCUGCAUUUUGUAGUUUGGUGGAACAUGAUUCAAACUUGAAUCAUGUGUCUUAAAUCUGUGUCUCUUGGGCUGCAGUCCUAACAAACCCUGAAUAAGCAUCUUUAAUUUCAGUCAUGUUUCUAUUUCUCAAAUUUUGG